UAUUAUGCAACUGCAGGUGAUUUCUCAUCUUUCAACUCGGUCUAUUUUACUCAUCAUACAUGGAGAGAGUUUAUACAAUGUUAGAUGAAGAGUUGGCGGUGCCACGGUGCCAAGAAUUGCCUGAGAUGGUUAGUGAUAGUGAAAGUUAUGAUGACAGAUAAUUACUCCUCCAAGAAGAAGAAUCAGAAGAGCUGGCUAUUUGUGGGCCUUUUUCGUCAGUGGUAAGUUGACAUGGAC